rnacentral:rRNA from 1 species
CGGCGGACGGGUGAGUAACACGUGGGUAAUCUGCCUUAUACAGGGGGAUAACAGUUAGAAAUGACUGCUAAUACCGCAUAAGCGCACGGGGACGCAUGUUUCUGUGUGAAAAACUCCGGUAGUAUAAGAUGAGCCCGCGUCUGAUUAGCUUGUUGGUGGGGUAACGGCCUACCAAGGCGACGAUCAGUAGCCGGCCUGAGAGGGUGAACGGCCACAUUGGGACUGAGACACGGCCCAAACUCCUACGGAAGGCAGCAG